rnacentral:rRNA from 1 species
AAACCAGCACCUCAAGUGGUCAGGAUGAUUAUUGGGCCUAAAGCAUCCGUAGCCUGUUCUGUAAGUUUUCGGUUAAAUCCAUUAGCUCAACUAAUGGGCUGCCGAAAAUACUGUAGAACUAGGGAGUGGGAGAGGUGGACGGUAUUCGGUAGGAAGGGGUAAAAUCCUUUGAUCUAUUGAGGACCACCUGUGGCGAAGGCGGUCUACCAGAACACGUUCGACGGUGAGGGAUGAAAGCUGGGGGAGCAAACCGGAUUAGAAACCCGAGUAGUCC